GGCAGAAGCAACACUGGAGCUGAGCCAGGCCCCUGGAUGAGGUGUGCAGCAGAGCUCAGAAGAAAUUCCAGACAGUGAGAGAGAAACUGCCCGGGAGUUCUCCCGCUGGCCUCGCUGCCUCCCCCCACCGCAGGGGAGGGGUGGUAGCAGGAUGGAGUGGCAGCAACGCACGACCCGGAGUGGAGCGGGCCCGGAGCAGGCCUGGAGUGGCAGCAGCGGACGGCACGAAGCGUGCCGGGAGCAGAGCGGAGCGAAGAAGAGAAGCACAGCCAGGACUGCUACCACUGCCUCUCGAAUUUGCAACAGAGAUAGAGAGAAACCACGCUGAAGCAGGUCGAUUCUAGAUAUCCUUCGACAGAAAGCCAGAAUACAGGAGCAUGCUGGAACAUCAUAGAGCUCCAAAAUAUUGUCUCAGGUCUGGAGCAAAGCCCCAACACCAAGCCCAGACUGAAAUUCUUCACUUCACUGAGGGAUCAAAACAUCACAUCUAUCUCUAAAGGGCUGAUUUACUGACGUAAUGAGUGCAAUGG